CUAACUGAGGACCACAGUCAGAGCAAGAGGAACAAAGAUGUGGUAACAGAGGGAAGAUCUCCAGCAGGCCCCAGUCUGUAGGAACCAAGAGUGUGGGGGUAGCACGGGGAUUACAAAACCAGGAAGGAAGAGUUAUUUGGAGGCACACCUGACUUGCCAAAGGAUGAAGACCAUAAGAAAACAUGUCAGGAGGAGACCACAGAAGCUAAGACACACUCUAAGUCACAAGAUGGAAUGACUCAUGCCUGUUUUGUACUCUUCUAAAUCCUGAGAUGCAGAAUAACUAUAUCAAAGUCAGCUGGAAUAUUCUAGAAUUCCAGGGACUCAGCCUGCCCAGUUCCUGGGAUCUUGUCUCCAGUUCAGCAAAGGUUGUUGCAGUGGAGAAAGAAACAACAGGAAGGAUCCAUGUCAGUUGUCCCAGGCUGCAGCCUGGGCAUGUCAAAUCUAUCAGGCAAAGACUGCAACAGUCACGUGGCUGAGUCGGGAUUUGGGCCUGAGUCUAUAAAGCCUACACUGUUUUGCACUAUGCAAGUAUUUGAGAGCAGACCACUCAUCCUGCAGAGGAGUGCAGAAGCCCGUGUGGGUCCUUUGCUGUAUUUUAUUUUGGCAACUCUAUUGAGUGCCUGCAAUGCCCCAUGGGAGCUGGGGACAGGAGGGCUUACAGAUGGGAACGAGACCCAGAGCCUCCCUCCAGGCGUGGCAGUUGAAGGGGACUGGGCCAUGUUCAGACGGGUCCUUCAGACCACUGGGAGCCAAGGCCCUUA
rnacentral:lncRNA from 1 species